rnacentral:rRNA from 1 species
AGAGUUUGAUCAUGGCUCAGAUUGAACGCUGGCGGCAGGCCUAACACAUGCAAGUCGAACGGUAACAGGAAGCAGCUUGCUGCUUCGCUGACGAGUGGCGGACGGGUGAGUAAUGUCUGGGAAGCUGCCUGAUGGAGGGGGAUAACUACUGGAAACGGUAGCUAAUACCGCAUAAUGUCGCAAGACCAAAGAGGGGGACCUUCGGGCCUCUUGCCAUCGGAUGUGCCCAGAUGGGAUUAGCUUGUUGGUGGGGUAACGGCUCACCAAGGCGACGAUCCCUAGCUGGUCUGAGAGGAUGACCAGCCACACUGGAACUGAGACACGGUCCAGACUCCUACGGGAGGCAGCAGUGGGGAAUAUUGCACAAUGGGCGCAAGCCUGAUGCAGCCAUGCCGCGUGUAUGAAGAAGGCCUUCGGGUUGUAAAGUACUUUCAGCGGGGAGGAAGGGAGUAAAGUUAAUACCUUUGCUCAUUGACGUUACCCGCAGAAGAAGCACCGGCUAACUCCGUGCCAGCAGCCGCGGUAAUACGGAGGGUGCAAGCGUUAAUCGGAAUUACUGGGCGUAAAGCGCACGCAGGCGGUUUGUUAAGUCAGAUGUGAAAUCCCCGGGCUCAACCUGGGAACUGCAUCUGAUACUGGCAAGCUUGAGUCUCGUAGAGGGGGGUAGAAUUCCAGGUGUAGCGGUGAAAUGCGUAGAGAUCUGGAGGAAUACCGGUGGCGAAGGCGGCCCCCUGGACGAAGACUGACGCUCAGGUGCGAAAGCGUGGGGAGCAAACAGGAUUAGAUACCCUGGUAGUCCACGCCGUAAACGAUGUCGACUUGGAGGUUGUGCCCUUGAGGCGUGGCUUCCGGAGCUAACGCGUUAAGUCGACCGCCUGGGGAGUACGGCCGCAAGGUUAAAACUCAAAUGAAUUGACGGGGGCCCGCACAAGCGGUGGAGCAUGUGGUUUAAUUCGAUGCAACGCGAAGAACCUUACCUGGUCUUGACAUCCACGGAAGUUUUCAGAGAUGAGAAUGUGCCUUCGGGAACCGUGAGACAGGUGCUGCAUGGCUGUCGUCAGCUCGUGUUGUGAAAUGUUGGGUUAAGUCCCGCAACGAGCGCAACCCUUAUCCUUUGUUGCCAGCGGUCCGGCCGGGAACUCAAAGGAGACUGCCAGUGAUAAACUGGAGGAAGGUGGGGAUGACGUCAAGUCAUCAUGGCCCUUACGACCAGGGCUACACACGUGCUACAAUGGCGCAUACAAAGAGAAGCGACCUCGCGAGAGCAAGCGGACCUCAUAAAGUGCGUCGUAGUCCGGAUUGGAGUCUGCAACUCGACUCCAUGAAGUCGGAAUCGCUAGUAAUCGUGGAUCAGAAUGCCACGGUGAAUACGUUCCCGGGCCUUGUACACACCGCCCGUCACACCAUGGGAGUGGGUUGCAAAAGAAGUAGGUAGCUUAACCUCCGGGAGGGCGCUUACCACUUUGUGAUUCAUGACUGGGGUGAAGUCGUAACAAGGUAACCGUAGGGGAACCUGCGGUUG